rnacentral:rRNA from 1 species
UACGGGGGGAGCAAGCGUUGUUCGGAUUUACUGGGCGUAAAGGGCGCGUAGGCGGUCGUGACAAGUCACUUGUGAAAUCUCCGGGCUUAACUCGGAACGGUCAAGUGAUACUGUCGGACUAGAGUACAGAAGGGGCAACUGGAAUUCUCGGUAUAGCGGUGAAAUGCGUAGAUAUCGAGAGGAACACCUGCGGCGAAGGCGGGUUGCUGGGCUGAUACUGACGCUGAGGCGCGAAAGCCAGGGGAGCGAACGGG